CUGCGUACCUUUUGUAUAAUGGGUCAGCGACUUAUAUUCUGUAGCAAGGUUAACUGUAUAGGGGAGCCGGAGGGAAACCGAGUCUUAACCGGGCGUUAAGUUGCAGGGUAUAGACCCGAAACCCGGUGAUCUAGCCAUGGGCAGGUUGAAGGUUGGGUAACACUAACUGGAGGACCGAACCGACUAAUGUUGAAAAAUUAGCGGAUGACCUGUGGCUGGGGGUGAAAGGCCAAUCAAACCGGGAGAUAGCUGGUUCUCCCCGAAAGCUAUUUAGGUAGCGCCUCGUGAAUUCAUCUCCGGGGGUAGAGCACUGUUUCGGCUAGGGGGCCAUCCCGGCUUACCAACCCGAUGCAAACUGCGAAUACCGGAGAAUGUUAUCACGGGAGACACACGGCGGGUGCUAAUGUCCGUCGUGAAGAGGGAAACAACCCAGACCGCCAGCUAAGGUCCCAAAGUCAUGGUUAAGUGGGAAACGAUGUGGGAAGGCCCAGACAGCCAGGAUGUUGGCUUAGAAGCAGCCAUCAUUUAAAGAAAGCGUAAUAGCUCACUGGUCGAGUCGGCCUGCGCGGAAGAUGUAACGGGGCUAAACCAUGCACCGAAGCUGCGGCAGCGACACCGUGUGUUGUUGGGUAGGGGAGCGUUCUGUAAGCCUGUGAAGGUGUGCUGUGAGGCAUGCUGGAGGUAUCAGAAGUGCGAAUGCUGACAUAAGUAACGAUAAAGCGGGUGAAAAGCCCGCUCGCCGGAAGACCAAGGGUUCCUGUCCAACGUUAAUCGGGGCAGGGUGAGUCGACCCCUAAGGCGAGGCCGAAAGGCGUAGUCGAUGGGAAACGGGUUAAUAUUCCCGUACUUGGUGUUACUGCGAAGGGGGGACGGAGAAGGCUAUGUUGGCCGGGCGACGGUUGUCCCGGUUUAAGCGUGUAGGUAUGUGUUCCAGGUAAAUCCGGUUCACUUUAACACUGAGGCGUGACGACGAGGCACUACGGUGCUGAAGCAACAAAUGCCCUGCUUCCAGGAAAAGCCUCUAAGCAUCAGGUAACAUCAAAUCGUACCCCAAACCGACACAGGUGGUCAGGUAGAGAAUACCAAGGCGCUUGAGAGAACUCGGGUGAAGGAACUAGGCAAAAUGGUGCCGUAACUUCGGGAGAAGGCACGCUGACACGUAGGUGAAGUGAUUUACUCACGGAGCUGAAGUCAGCCGAAGAUACCAGCUGGCUGCAACUGUUUAUUAAAAACACAGCACUGUGCAAACACGAAAGUGGACGUAUACGGUGUGACGCCUGCCCGGUGCCGGAAGGUUAAUUGAUGGGGUCAGCGCAAGCGAAGCUCCUGAUCGAAGCCCCGGUAAACGGCGGCCGUAACUAUAACGGUCCUAAGGUAGCGAAAUUCCUUGUCGGGUAAGUUCCGACCUGCACGAAUGGCGUAAUGAUGGCCAGGCUGUCUCCACCCGAGACUCAGUGAAAUUGAACUCGCUGUGAAGAUGCAGUGUACCCGCGGCAAGACGGAAAGACCCCGUGAACCUUUACUAUAGCUUGACACUGAACAUUGAGCCUUGAUGUGUAGGAUAGGUGGGAGGCUUUGAAGUGUGGACGCCAGUCUGCAUGGAGCCGACCUUGAAAUACCACCCUUUAAUGUUUGAUGUUCUAACGUGGACCCGUGAUCCGGGUUGCGGACAGUGUCUGGUGGGUAGUUUGACUGGGGCGGUCUCCUCCUAAAGAGUAACGGAGGAGCACGAAGGUUGGCUAAUCCUGGUCGGACAUCAGGAGGUUAGUGCAAUGGCAUAAGCCAGCUUGACUGCGAGCGUGACGGCGCGAGCAGGUGCGAAAGCAGGUCAUAGUGAUCCGGUGGUUCUGAAUGGAAGGGCCAUCGCUCAACGGAUAAAAGGUACUCCGGGGAUAACAGGCUGAUACCGCCCAAGAGUUCAUAUCGACGGCGGUGUUUGGCACCUCGAUGUCGGCUCAUCACAUCCUGGGGCUGAAGUAGGUCCCAAGGGUAUGGCUGUUCGCCAUUUAAAGUGGUACGCGAGCUGGGUUUAGAACGUCGUGAGACAGUUCGGUCCCUAUCUGCCGUGGGCGCUGGAGAACUGAGGGGGGCUGCUCCUAGUACGAGAGGACCGGAGUGGACGCAUCACUGGUGUUCGGGUUGUCAUGCCAAUGGCACUGCCCGGUAGCUAAAUGCGGAAGAGAUAAGUGCUGAAAGCAUCUAAGCACGAAACUUGCCCCGAGAUGAGUUCUCCCUGAGACUUUAGGUCUCCUGAAGGAACGUUGAAGACGACGACGUUGAUAGGCCGGGUGUGUAAGCGCAGCGAUGCGUUGAGCUAACCGGUACUAAUGAACCGUGAGGCUUAACCUUACAACGCCGAAG
rnacentral:rRNA from 1 species